rnacentral:piRNA from 1 species
CUGAGGAAUAAUCGAUUCUGGUGUGAGU